rnacentral:sRNA from 1 species
GAUACCAGGGUCGAAAAGUCUGAAGUCCACAUGAGCUUGUUCAUUUGUGGACGACAGACUUUGAGACCCGCCCCGAUAUGAGCAUAAAAGUGGAAUGAUAAUUCCACGAUAUGCGAAUAUCGGGCAGGGGUGUGGGAGUGCAUAGCACGAAACACCCCGUAAGGU